rnacentral:lncRNA from 12 species
AGUCUGUAUGAAAACAACCACAUUGCUGGGAAUCUAAACCCUGACGGGUCUGGGUCUGGAGUUACGGAAGUCCCACUCAGAACACAGAGGGCUUCUCGUGCAGCAUGGCAUGAAGCCGAGGGAGACAUGAAGCAACCGAGCAGUCCUAUCAAAGAUGCUGUCCAUGCAGCCUGGAAUCCGGGGUGAAAAGCCCAUGCUAAAAUGUCCACAAGCAAUGCAGCGCUACCCCUUCAGGAUGAGCCUGUUAUCACACCCAGAAAAUCAAGAACCACAUGCUUUUCCUCUUGGAUGAAGCAGGACUUUGCAACUUCCUAUAGAAAGAAUUUUUGGUGUAAGGCUAAGGACAUCAUUAAAAGUUCCUGAUAGGGCACCUGGGUGGCUCAGUGGUUGAGCAUCUGCUUUCAACUCAGGUCGUGAUCCCGGAGUCCUGGGAUCGAGUCCUGCAUUGGGAUCCCUGCGGGAAGCCUGCUUCUCCCUCUGCUUGUCUCUGCCUCUCUCUCUGUGUCUCUCAUGAAUAAAUAAAUAAAAUCUGUUUUAAAAAGUUCCUGA